AAAAGUGCUUCUUUGUUUGUAAAAAUCAAAUCAAAAGUAAAAUCAUAAAUCUAAAGCACCCAUUCCCUUGCUUUUAGAUUCUGAUUAAAUCAAGCAUAAUCAAAAGCAGAAGUUGGCAUUUGCAAACACUAAAAACUAUU
rnacentral:pre_miRNA from 1 species